ACGCUGGCGGCAAGCUUAACACAUGCAAGUCGAGCGGCAUCUAGAAAAAGUGUUUUUCGCUUUUUUGUAGCGAGCGGCGAACGGGUGAGUAAUGUAUGGGGAUCUACCUAUAGGAGGGGGACAACUAUUGGAAACGAUAGCUAAUACCGCGUAUUCUCCAAGGAGAAAAGUAGGGGACUAUUUAAAAAAUAGCCUUACGCCUAUAGAUGAACCCAUAUGAGAUUAGCUAGUAGGUGUGGUAAAGGCACACCUAGGCAACGAUCUCUAGCUGGUCUGAGAGGACGAUCAGCCACACUGGGACUGAGACACGGCCCAGACUCCUACGGGAGGCAGCAGUGGGGAAUCUUGCACAAUGGGCGAAAGCCUGAUGCAGCUAUGCCGCGUGUAUGAAGAAGGCCUUAGGGUUGUAAAGUACUUUCGGUUGUGAAGAAAGUAUUAAAUUUAAUAAAUUUAAUAUGUGACGUUAACAACAAAAGAAGCACCGGCUAACUCCGUGCCAGCAGCCGCGGUAAUACGGAGGGUGCUAGCGUUAGUCGGAAUUACUGGGCGUAAAGGGCAUGUAGGCGGUUAAUUAAGUUGGAUGUGAAAUCCCUAAGCUUAACUUAGGAAUAGCAUUCAAAACUAAUUAUCUAGAGUUUUGUAGAGGGGGGUAGAAUUCCAUGUGUAGCGGUGAAAUGCGUAGAGAUAUGGAAGGAAUACCAGUGGCUAAAGCGACCCCCUAGUCAAAACUGACGCUCAUGUGCGAAAGCGUGGGGAGCAAACAGGAUUAGAUACCCUGGUAGUCCAUGCUGUAAACGAUGUCGAUUUGGAGGUUGUGGUUUAAAUCAUGGCUUCCGGAGCUAACGUGUUAAAUCGACCGCCUGGGGAGUACGGCCGCAAGGUUAAAACUCAAAUGAAUUGACGGGGGCCCGCACAAGCGGUGGAGCAUGUGGUUUAAUUCGAUGCAACGCGAAAAACCUUACCUACUCUUGACAUCCAGCGAAGUUUUUAGAGAUAAAAACGUGCCUUAGGGAACGCUGAGACAGGUGCUGCAUGGCUGUCGUCAGCUUGUGUUGUGAAAUGUUGGGUUAAGUCCCGCAACGAGCGCAACCCUUAUCCUUUGUUGCCAGUGAGUAAAGUCGGGGACUCAAAGGAGACUGCCAAUGAUAAAUUGGAGGAAGGUGGGGACGACGUCAUGUCAUCAUGGCCCUUACGAGUAGGGCUACACACGUGCUACAAUGGCAUAUACAAAGAGAAGCAAUCCAGCAAUGGGAAGCAGAACUCAUAAAGUAUGUCAAAAUUCGGAUUAGAGUCUGCAACUCGACUCUAUGAAGUCGGAAUCGCUAGUAAUCGCGGAUCAGCAUGCCGCGGUGAAUACGUUCCCGGGCCUUGUACACACCGCCCGUCACACCAUGGAAGUGAGUUGCAAAAGAAGUAGGUAGCUUAACCAUGUUUUUUAAAAUUGGAUGGCGCUUACCACUUUGUGGUUCUAAUCUGGGUUGAAAUGGAAUCAAGGUAACCAAGGGCGAAUU
rnacentral:rRNA from 1 species